UUUUUUAUUCAACAGAGAUAGAGACAGCCAGCGAGAGAGGGAACACAAGCAGGGGGAGUGGGAGAGGAAGAAGCAGGCUCAUAGCGGAGGAGCCUGACGUGGGGCUCGAUCCCAUAACGCCGGGAUCACGCCCUGAGCCGAAGGCAGACGCUCAACCGCUGUGCCACCCAGGCGCCCCUGGAUACCAUGUUUUUAACCGCUAAGUUAUUUGAAAGUGAAACAGUAUAGGUUGUCUUGUUUUGCUUUGUUUUGCUUUAAAACAACCUCAAACUCACAGCGUAGCUCAAAUUCACAGCUGGACAAUAAUAAUUAAGAUCUGAGCCGCGAGCUUUGUUACAAAUGGGAAGAGUACCAUUGGGGUAGGAAAACCCUGCAAACACUUGGAAUGUUAAUUUCCCAUUUCCAAAGAGAUUCUGAUUUUAUUUUUAAACCUAGCGUCUUAUCUCUUCAAAGAAACAUUUUGCAGCCUUACUUGUUUUUGUCUUUCCCUUAAAAAAAAAAAAGCUUUUCUUAAUUUCUUCUUCUUUUCCAUUUAGGUAUGCCCAUGUCUACCGCAUAGUGGGGAAAAAAUCCUUGGCUGCUUCCUCUGGCUUUUUAGAAAGACCUGUUUCUUCCUUCCACUUGCCCUCCACUUCCUCAAGCAGUCAUUUGGAAAAUGACACUCGACUCACAUCAAAAAACUCUCCCUGCCGUCUGCCUUCCCUCCAAGCCAACAGACACACGCUCCUACCUUCAAAGCAAAUCCGGUCAGUGAUUCUCCUCCAAUGUCAGACCCAACUAGUGGCACGUUCAUCAGCAUAAGCACUCCAGAUGUCAGAGGCUGUACCCAAAUUGAGAUAGGUGCCUUGUCUCUCCAGCUAUUAAGUAAGAAGAAUUCUGAUAUUAGACCUUGGGCUGCCCUAUCUUUCCUAACCUCUCUUUCCCCAUCUUUAAAAAGCGGAUAAUGACACUAAUUUUCAGGGUGGUCAUGAGUGUUAAAACAAACUAUUAGGUGGGAAGCUUUUUUUUUUUUUUUUUUUGGUCAUUGCUUUAGGACCAUCUCAACACCUGGGGCUUUUCAAGGAGGGUUUUGAGGGCCUUAAAGCAUGCUUACUCUGCAGGAGGCUGCAGGUACCACCGGGCGCCAGUAUACAGCCUUCGGGGCAUACGUUGUUUCCGUAAUUACUCCCUUCAGGGUAUUUCCUUAUGAGGUUGAUUUUGUUCCUUAUAAAAAUGUUAUUGCAGAAAAGAAAGCCAGGUUAUGAGAAGUAAUUGCGUUUGAUUUUUCAUAUUGUUGUAAGGGACAGAAGGAAACAAAGUGUUAUGUUCAUUCUCUUCCUUCUUUUCAACUGCAGGUUCCCUUAGAUGGACUCCAGUGAAUGAUUUUACACGAGUACCCACCACAGC
rnacentral:lncRNA from 1 species